rnacentral:tRNA from 1 species
GCUGAUAUAGUAUAAUGGUUAUUACAGGCCGUUGGUAACGGUCAGAUUCAAGUUCGAUUCUCGGUAUCAGCACCA